rnacentral:rRNA from 1 species
AUAACUUCUGGAAACGGAUGCUAAAACCGGAUAGGUAGCAGACAAGCAUUUGACUGCUAUUAAAGUGGCUAAGGCCAUGAACAUGGAUGGACCUGCGGUGCAUUAGCUAGUUGGUGAGGUAACGGCCCACCAAGGCGACGAUGCAUAGCCGGCCUGAGAGGGCGGACGGCCACAUUGGGACUGAGACACGGCCCAAACUCCUACGGGAGGCAGCAGUAGGGAAUUUUCGUCAAUGGGGGGAACCCUGAACGAGCAAUGCCGCGUGAGUGAGGAAGGUCUUCGGAUCGUAAAGCUCUGUUGUAAGAGAAAAACGGCACUCAUAGGGAAUGAUGAGUGAGUGAUGGUAUCUUACCAGAAAGUCACGGCUAACUACGUGCCAGCAGCCGCGGUAAUACGUAGGUGGCGAGCGUUAUCCGGAAUGAUUGGGCGUAAAGGGUGCGUAGGUGGCAGAUCAAGUCUGGAGUAAAAGGUACGGGCUCAACCCGUACUGCUCUGGAAACUGAUCAGCUAGAGAACAGAAGAGGACGGCGGAACUCCAUGUGUAGCGGUAAAAUGCGUAGAUAUAUGGAAGAACACCGGUGGCGAAGGCGGCCGUCUGGUCUGGAUUCUGACACUGAAGCACGAAAGCGUGGGGAGCAAAUAGGAUUAGAUACCCUAGUAGUCCACGCCGUAAAC